UGAGACUUGUUUUUGGCCCGGGAGGUAUUCAUUGGAGCUAAGUUCAGACGUCUAUGAUAAACUAUGGAGGUUUGACAUGGAAGGCUUACCUGCUGAUCUCAUCAAAAGGUGCAUUUUGCUAAUUAAAAUGAAAUAUAUUUACCACCAAAGUUUAAUUGCAAAGCUAAUUAGUUUUUGUUUCCAUUAAAAAUUUGCAAUAUAAGGGGGAUGGCUGAAGAAGAUGAGAACGCUAAACAUGGACUACGCCUGACGAUACCAGACUACCCGUUUGCGAAUGACGGUCUAAUAUUAUGGGAUGCAAUUAAAGAAUGGGUGACAGAAUAUGUGAACCACUAUUAUCCAGAUGCAGAACUGAUCAAGUCGGACGAGGAACUUCAAGGAUGGUGGAGCGAAGUGCAAAACGUAGGACAUGGAGACAAGAAAGAUGAACCUUGGUGGCCUGUCCUCGAGACACAAGAUGACUUAAUUAAUAUCGUCACGACGAUUGCGUGGGUCGCUUCAGGUCACCAUGCAGCUGUAAACUUUGGACAGUAUGGAUAUGGAGGAUACUUCCCUAACAGACCAACCACAACAAGGAUAAAAAUGCCGACAGAAGAACCAACAGAUGAAGAGCUAGAGGAGUUCUACGAGUCACCAGAAAAAGUAAUGCUUAAAACAUACCCAUCACAGAAGCAGGCGACUCUAGUGAUGGUCACUUUGGAUCUUUUAUCAACUCAUUCAGUUGAUGAAGAGUACAUUGGAGAGUAUCCGGAAUCAUCUUGGGCUGAUGAACCUAUGAUAAAUGCUGCUUUUGAACGUUUUAAAGGUAGGCUUCAAUAUCUAGAAGGAGUGAUAGAUGAGAGAAACGUGACACUUUCUCUAAAGAAUAGAGCUGGAGCUGGUGUGGUUAAGUAUGAGCUUUUGAAGCCUACUUCUGAGCAUGGUGUUACUGGAAUGGGUGUUCCCUACAGUAUUUCUAUUUGAUCUAUUUUGUUUUCCUUUCCCAAGUGUCUUUAUUUUUCUGUAUGUCUUCAAGAAAUAAAACAACUGAUCCAUUGUCUUUUCUAUAUAAAUCU
rnacentral:lncRNA from 1 species